AACACGGACCAAGAAGUCUAACAUGUGUGCGAGUCAUUGGGUAUUUCGUUGAAACCUAAAGGCGCAAUUAAAAUAACUAUUUUAUGGGAUUACGAGCGAUCUCCAAUGGUCGUUCCUCCAUCCCGGGGCGUUCUAUGUGAACAUGGUUCGAGCAAUCGGGCCCUCUGUUCGAGAGCGUACCUUGAGCAUACAUGCUGU
rnacentral:rRNA from 1 species